UUGAAAUUGUAAAAACAUUAACCUUUUAUAAUUUCCAGAAGGGCCUCGUCUAAUUCCAGAUUUUGGUUAAGGAAAAUGAUGUAACCCAGUUUAUCAAGUCUCUGUGGAUGUAUUUUGUUUUUCAUCACCAUGAGGUUUCGAAUUCAGACAGCUCUUACAAUCAACAGACAGCUUCCAGACUCCAAGUACUGAGAUUCAUGUAUUGGGCAUGAAAGACUUCCAUUGCUUGUUGCAAAUUACAAAUCUUAUCUGUGAAUCAACUUGGAUGGCCUAUAAGAAAUUAAUUGUUAGUUAAGAUUAUUCUCAAACCGUGAAGGGAUCAUCUCACUUCAUGACAUGAAAAAGCUUGAUCACUCACGGGAAUGGACCAUGUAUGACAAUCAAGCAAGUAACCUUUUUCUCCAUAAAAUCUGGCCGAUGAAAUCACAUGAAUGUACACGAGACAGCAAAAAAGCGAGAGAGAGAUUAGGUUGCGUUUGGUUUGUGUGUCAUGAUAGAAAAGAUAAAUACAGAAAAGAUAGAAACGUGUUUAGUUAGAGAGAUGAAGAUGGAAACAUAAAAUAAAUCAUAAUUUUGAAGUGAAUUUUUUUACCUUCAAAAUAGAAAAGACGAAGAUCUCCAUUAUCUCAAUCUCUUUUAUCUCAAAAGAGUAUAGUUACAAGACUAACGCUCAAAUACAAAAGAGAUAGACAGGUGUUUGAUUGGAGAUCAGGUGAGGAUAAAAUUAUAAAAUAAAUCACAAUUUUAAAGUGAAUUUCUACAUUUUUAAAAUAAAAAUGAUAAAGGGAUAUGUCUCUAUUAUCCCGUCUCUUCUGUCUCAAAACAUAGACUCUAGAAACGCAUGCCCUCGCAUGAUUUUCUUUCUUUCUCUCAUGCAUUCAAAGCUACAAAAAAGUGCAUCAUCCAUCACAAGAAGACAAGUGAAGAACAAAACGACUUGCAAAAAAGGAGGGUUAACUAGUAGUGGUGUGGAGCUACUUGCAUGUGACAUUGUCACAAGCAUUACUUCAUAGCUAUAUAUAUAUAUAUUUAACACCCAAACCAAACCCUGCGAAGAGGACCGUUCCUUGUGAAGAUAUCUCUUUUCAUUAUCUUAUGAGAAUCUAAACUAAAAAAAGAAUGGUGUGUGUGCGUGAGAGAGAGAGGGAGGGGGGGAAGUCAUGGAAGGUAUGAUUUCUAAGAGUGUCCAUAGAAGACCCACUAAGGAUAAAAGGUGGAAGAUUUGGUAUAGUUUUUUGUUCUUGGCCAUUUCCUUCUCUAGUGGAUGGUGAUGGUGAUGAGGAAGGACCCUUGGGGUCUGCCUUACACUUUAGCAUCCAAAAACCAAAUGAUUACAAUCACAAAAAAACCAAUAAGAGGAAAUGAAACUAACAAAGUGCUUGCUUGCCUUGCAUGUGAAUAGCACUUGCAUAGGAAGACAAAGGGCUCCCCAUGUUUUUCCCUAUGAGUCUAUUAAUUGGAUUUGGAUGCUGUCACUGUUCUUCCAUAUGAUCCAUUCAUUUUCCUUCACUUUUCCAUUGCUUUUCCAACCAUCCAUUUCUUCAACUCUUCUUGUUGAUACAUAUCCUUUCUCCGCAUUUAAUUUUCCUUUUGUAUUUUUUUGGUGGUUCAAGUGUUGCAUUGCAUAAUACUGGUUCCACAUAUUCUGUGCAACAAUUAUGGUGUCUUUCACAUAUCUUGUGUUCCCUUCCUCCUCUGUUGGCCAUAUGCAGCUGUAGUUGACUCUGCAGACAAGACAGUGAUCCCAUAAAAUGAAGGGCUAGAAAUUAUUUCUUGAGUUGCAUAGUAGGGCUCAAGCCAGUCAAAGAUAGCAGGCUGUUCUUGCUAUUAAUAUACUACUUUGUAAUUCUUUCAGC
rnacentral:lncRNA from 1 species